UUGAGCCGUAUGAAGCGAAAGUUUCACGUACGGUUCUUAGAAGAGAGGGAGCAAGUAAUUGCUCCUUCUUAUUCGGC
rnacentral:ncRNA from 1 species